UCGAGAAUUUUUGACAAUGGGGGAAACCCUGAUCGAGCGACGCCGCGUGGAGGAUGAAGGUCUUCGGGUUGUAAACUCCUGUCAUUUGGGAACAAGGCGCAUGUAUUAACUGUACGUGCGUUGAUAGUACCAGAAGAGGAAGAGACGGCUAACUCUGUGCCAGCAGCCGCGGUAAUACAGAGGUCUCAAGCGUUGUUCGGAUUCAUUGGGCGUAAAGGGUGUGUAGGUGGCGCGCUAAGUCGGGUGUGAAAUUUCGGAGCUUAACUCCGAAACUGCAUUCGAUACUGGCGUGCUUGAGGACUGGAGAGGAGACUGGAAUUCAUGGUGUAGCAGUGAAAUGCGUAGAGAUCAUGAGGAAGACCAGUGGCGAAGGCGGGUCUCUGGACAGUUCCUGACACUGAGGCACGAAGGCCAGGGGAGCAAACGGGAUUAGAUACCCCUGUAGUCC
rnacentral:rRNA from 1 species